rnacentral:snoRNA from 2 species
CCCCUCUCAGGGUCGCACCUGGAGAGUUUCCAGUACUCUACCAGUCUCGACUGCGGGAGGGAGAGUCAAGCAGAGGCCUGUCCGUUCCAUUCCUAACUUGGGCAAUGGCUAGCAAGUGGAAGACAAUCUGCUAAAUCA